UCCUCGUUAGUAUAGUGGUGAGUAUCCCCGCCUGUCACGCGGGAGACCGGGGUUCGUUUCCUCGACGGGGAG
rfam:Ciona savignyi cont_3842, whole genome shotgun sequence.